rnacentral:snoRNA from 1 species
AUUCCAUGAUUGGGACAAUUUGAGAUAUAUUCUUGAAAAUGCUCCCUAGCUUCUGGAAUAGAUUCACCUUUUUGCUAAUGGAAAUUUGUAAUAUUUCCUCUUAUGGC